rnacentral:rRNA from 1 species
GACGAACCGAGCAAACGUUAUUCGGAAUCACUGGGCUUAAAGGGCGCGUAGGCGGGUCAGCAAGUCAGGGGUGAAAGCCCCCAGCUCAACUGGGGAAGUGCCUUUGAUACUGUUGAUCUCGAGGGAGGUAGGGGCGUGCGGAACUUCCGGUGGAGCGGUGAAAUGCGUAGAUAUCGGAAGGAACACCGGUGGCGAAAGAGGAGCGCGGGACCUCUUCUGACGCUGAGGCGCGAAAGCCAGGGGAGCAAACAGG